rnacentral:rRNA from 1 species
AUUGAACGCUGGCGGCAGGCUUAACACAUGCAAGUCGAGCGGAGAUGAGGUGCUUGCACCUUAUCUUAGCGGCGGACGGGUGAGUAAUGCUUAGGAAUCUGCCUAUUAGUGGGGGACAACAUUCCGACAGGAAUGCUAAUACCGCAUACGUCCUACGGGAGAAAGCAGGGGAUCUUCGGACCUUGCGCUAAUAGAUGAGCCUAAGUCGGAUUAGCUAGUUGGUGGGGUAAAGGCCUACCAAGGCGACGAUCUGUAGCGGGUCUGAGAGGAUGAUCCGCCACACUGGGACUGAGACACGGCACAGACUCCUACGGGAGGCAGCAGUGGGGAAUAUUGGACAAUGGGGGGAACCCCGAUCCAGCCAUGCCGCGUGUGUGAAGAAGGCCUUAUGGUUGUAAAGCACUUUAAGCGAGGAGGAGGCUACUGAGACUAAUACUCUUGGAUAGUGGACGUUACUCGCAGAAUAAGCACCGGCUAACUCUGUGCCAGCAGCCGCAGUAAUAC